rnacentral:tRNA from 1 species
AUGUCGGGAUGCGCAGCGGUCCGGGCGGCGCGGGCCUGCAGGGCCUGUGCCCGGCCGAUCUCGCCGGCGCCGGUGGCCGCGGCAUUGUUCGACAUG